rnacentral:rRNA from 1 species
UGUCUUGGUAAAAUGAAUGAUGGGAAUCUAAACCCUUCCCAGAGUAUCAAUUGGAGGGCAAGUCUGGUGCCAGCAGCCGCGGUAAUUCCAGCUCCAAUAGCGUAUAUUAAAGUUGUUGCAGUUAAGAAGCUCGUAGUUGAAUUUCUGCCUUGUCAUUAAUUUCGCUUCCGAACGUUUUUUUAUUGACUCGGCAUCUUCUGGAUUUAGUCUCCUUUGGUUUCUUUUUCCAGUAUUUACUUUGAGAAAACUAGAGUGUUUCAAACAGGCCUUCGCCUUGAAUACUACAGCAUGGAAUAAUGAAGUAGGACUUUGGUUCUAUUUUGUUGGUUUUUGAACCAGAGUAAUGGUUAAUAGGAGCAGUUGGGGGCAUUCGUAUUUAACUGUCAGAGGUGAAAUUCUUAGAUUUGUUAAAGACGAACUACUGCGAAAGCAUUUGCCAAGGAUGUUUUCAUUAAUCAAGAACGAAAGUUAGGGGAUCGAA